CGUGUAGGCGGUUCGGUAAGUUGGACGUGAAAGCUCCUGGCUCAACUGGGAGAGGUCGUUCAAAACUGCCGGGCUAGAGGACGGUAGAGGGAGGUGGAAUUCCCGGUGUAGUGGUGAAAUGCGUAGAUAUCGGGAGGAACACCAGUGGCGAAGGCGGCCUCCUGGGCCGUUCCUGACGCUCAGACGCGAAAGCUAGGGGAGCGAACG
rnacentral:rRNA from 1 species